UUCAAUUAAUGUUUUUUUCUAAACAAUUCAGUGGAACUACAGUGUGAUGAAAGUGCAUGAUGAGACCUGUACCCAGUAGUCACCCUGCUAGAUUCUGGGGGUGGUGGAGACUUUAAAGGAUUUCCUGAUGCUUUCCAUGCUUUCAUGUUAUAAAAGUGGGGAAUUUAGGAAAACAACUUUUCUAAAUGGACAUUGUUUGUUUUUCCUUGUCUUCUGUUCCCUUCUUCACUCUAGGAAAUGUAAAGUCUUGGAAGACACGAUGCUUUAAGGAAUGAAUGUGAUCCUGGAAGAAAACUGAGCUCAAACCUCUGCAUUCUGCAAUCAACAGAAGCUGAAGGCCACAAUGUUUCCCUGCCUUUGUGCUCUAGUCGAGGGUUCCGCCAUUCCCUUAGAAAUAGGGAGUAGUAUGUGCCAUAUACAGUAUUUCACCCUCUCACAUCAAAGUGCCAAAUUAUCUUCUGGUCAUUUCCACUUAUCUCAUAACCCACUGCGACUCUGUAACCAGACUGCCAGAGUUACUCAUAUGCCCGUGCCCUCUUAUGCUGCUCCUGCACAUGAAUUAUCUCUAUUAUCUCCACUUUCUUAUUUCUUCCUGGUAAAGCUGACCCACCUCUGGCUGCCUGUAAUCUGCCACUUGAAAAUGAAAAUCAUCGAUCUAUGAAACGCCAUGAAGGAAGUUUCACCUGCCAAAAAAAAAGUAAUCAAUAUACUGUGUGCCGGUGUUUCAGGCCAGCUCUGUGUGUAAUCUUUUCUUUCUGCAAUCACUGGUGGGGUUUUGUUUGUUUGUUUGUUUGUUUUGGGGGUUUUUUUUCAUCCUUUUACCGACCCUCCCGUACACUUCUAGGUCAUCCCGUCAAUCUCCCCCCAUAGAGAUGUACGUCUUUGCUCCAUCAAAUGUGUUUACUGGGGCGACAGGUCUGACCUUUUGCCCUGCGUGUGUCCAAUCCAAAUGCCAGUUCAGCGGACCAGAAAAAGCAAGACACUCAAAUGGUCCUGGCAUUUGCAGAAUUGCUUCUCUCUCAGUGGUUUCUUUGAUACUAGGCACAGUUUUUUUUUGUCUGGAAAGGAUAACACUCUGAUUAAACUGCAGGGUAUAAACCCAACUACUGGAUCAGAGCCAGAUGUUACAACCCACACUGGUGACCUUGAGUCACGUGUUACCCCGUCCUCUUACACCAGCUGGCAGUUGGGCAGCGAUAUCCAGGCUCCCAAUGGGUGGGCUGAGUCAGAGCCCUCAGGGACCUGAAGAUAGCUGGACGUCUCAGGGAAUGAGCAAACUGGGUGAACUGUAGCAGAUAGGAGAGGUGAAGAAGUGUGAGAUGAGGAGAAUAGAGAGUUGGUUAGUGAGGCAGGGAUUGAUUCAUAUGUCAGGAUAGGCGAUGUCUCCAAGGCAACAGAAGUUGUGUGGAAGCGGGUUGGCAGGAAGGAGAAAGGUGGAUGGCAACAGUCGGAGAAGUGGGGUAAAAAUGGAUGUUAUGACGUGUUGUCCAUAAUGAGUGACCAUAUGUGCUAAGAGUCAAUGCAGACCGACACACACAGUAUAAAGGAACAUGAGGUCCACUACACCUCCUGCAGAGCCUUUGUGCAGUUCCUGGUCAGUCUGACAGUCUUCUGCAUACACUGCCUCCAUUCCUCCUUCCUAUUCUUCCAGGAAGUCAAUAAGACGUCAGGGGGGAAGAUGCCGCGCCACAGUAGUGAAACGAUCUCCUUCAGCUGCUUUUCUCCCCCACACGUAAUUGCUCGUCACUGCCUAUGUGUUGGUACAUCUGUCUCUCCACCGAGAGGACAGACAACAUACUGAAGGUCUUCUGUAUUGCUCAAAGAGGAAGUGCACUGCUGUACUUUUGGGUUUGUAAAGGCCUCUGUGUUGGACAGACAGAGAUGUAGGGUCCAGCCCCUUAAUGAGAGCAGAACAGACACAUUAACCUUUUCUCUGGCUGUAGUCUGUCCUUGUCUCAUCAAUGCUGCAGAUCCUCAGAUGCUUGUGUACAGAUCUCAUUAUUUUGUAAAAGGAAGCUGUUCACAGUGUGAGCCCGAAGUGGUUUGACAUUCAAAUAUUCCUCAGCAGAUAUUCUUCCCAUUUUAAUAAACUUUAAUAUUUUUUUUCCAUUUACAAGGUAGUCUUUG